UAUCGUCUCAGACUGCCUUUGCUCAAAAUGCAUGACAUUGCCACAGUGAGAGCAUGAGAACAGAGCCUCUUGAAUAGCAGGGUCCUCAUACUCGGCCUGUAACCAUGGAAGCAGAUGCCUGCUCUUUCUGUCCUGUCCUGCUUACCUCCCAGCGGCCAUGGGCUCCCUAUUGUAAAGAGGGUACGCCUUGAUUUUUCUUCAUCGUGACCGAACUUGCCUUGUCUUCAAAGGGAGCAAUUCAGCAGGUCACCGGUCUAGACUUGUUUGCAUGGUCCGCGGAGCAGCCUUGAUGUAACCCUUGCUCCUUGAGCACCACACCACCUGCCGUGCGACUGCAGACUGCGGGGGACAUUGGAGAUCUGUAUUUGAAAAGAAGUCCGUCCGAUUUUGCCAUUGUGCCUUUUCACUCAUCGAUCGAAUAAAUAUCGAACCUUCUGUCGGUGCAUGUGUGAAACAGAUAGCUUAGCAAGCACUUUUCUGUUCAAACCUGUGUUGUGGGCCGAGCGUCUCUCCUCUCUCUGUAUCAUUUUGUAAGUCUUAUUGUAUUUCCAUCUAUUACUUUUCUUAUCAUAACCUUUUCAACCUUUUUUGCUUUUAUUUUAAACUCAUCAAACAGGAGUCAAAAAAUGAAUCCAAACACAAAUUCUUUAUAAACUGACAAGACAAUUCAACAUCAGAUUUUCCUUCCAAAUGGGCUUUAACUGUGUUCUCACAUUUUCUGCCUAAAGAUGAAAACUGACAGUGAAAAGUUUUCUAACAUGAAAUUGUCAGAUUAUUACAAUACUUUUUUAAAAGGAAUAUUAAUUGCAACUAACACAUUUUAACAUGGGUUUCGGCAAAUUAUAAAGUUAAUUCGCAGUAGAUGGAAUUGUAAUUUGAUGGAAAUGUUUUGAAAUAUCAUGGAUUAAUUCUAUUUAUGUGAUAUUUAAAAGGAAAUGCAAUGCAAAUGGAAAUCUAAAUUAAUGUAUAAAUACCUUUCCUACAGAACACAUUCCUUUUUAUUAUUCCAUUAAUACGGUACUUUCUUUUAUCUGUCUUUAAAAAGGACACAGAAUGAUAGGCAUUUUAAACUUAAUAACUUUGAAGUAAACAUAUUUAAAAUCAUGAGCUGUAUCGUGGAGGGUAUAUGUGUUUCAUAAUUAAUUACAAUUCACAAUUUUUCUAGGACAGACUGGCUGCAGGUGGGUGAUAUAUGUAAUAAAAUAUAUUUAAGUUUGACAUUGAUGAAAAUUGCACAAAGACAAUCUGUUAUUCUAUGUAUAAACACCAUAUUACAUAUGGUAAUAUGUAUGGUUGUAAUAAAAAGGAAAUAAUAUUACAAUGAAAGCUAGUCCAAGCAAUAGUGUAAGUAAAUUAAUAAAUGGCAAAAACAUUCAGUUUUAGUUAUGUGAUUUUUUGUAGAUUACAAUUGUUAUUAGAGAUAACAAUUUUAAUAUGCUGCAUUUAAAUAAAAUAAUUUCCAUCUUGUAAUUUCCACCUGUUCAGUCCUAAUGUGACUACUAUUACCUCUUUAAAACACUGAUAUGGCCAUUUACAUAAGAAACAAGAACGUCUGAAAAUAUGUUUCUUGGUGGAAUCUGUUGACAUAUCUGUAAACAGCACUGAGAUUCCACAUCCACAAUCUCACAGACUUCAAGGCAUCACUAUUUCAUUUAAUAGCCAUAGGCAGAGGGGGAGGUACAGAAGAGUAAAUGUUACUGUGACACAUGAAACAUAAUUCACAUUGAGAGGUCCUUUCAUCUAGCCCUGAGUGAUGGUGAAUCACUCCAAGCUGACUUUAGGGACACAGGAUGACCCAGUUUUUGUCGUAUUAGAAUGAUAUGGCUUUACAAAUUCGGUACCGGAUCUCCAACUCUUAUUUUUGGGAUUUGUAGGAAAAGAAUGAAGAAAGAAAAGAAGAGCAGCAAAGAAGCAGAGACUGUUCGAUCUUGGGUUCUGGUGACAUCAUGAAUAAGAAAGACCAGGGCCUUUGAUUUCAGCAGACAGGAAUGCUCAGAGCCCUGGCCGCCACACGCAGAGUGCCACCCUGGUGGGAACAAAGGCUGAAAAUGGAGUCAGAGACCGUGCAAGCUCAAUGUCUAAGCCUUUCCUGUGAAUUGUUCCACCCCAGACGAGUGAUACCCAAUUGUGUUUUCAGAGAUCUGAGGAAGCCAACACAAGCAUACAGCUUAGCUUGCUGCCAUGCAAACAAACAUGAAUGCAGUAAAACAUAUAGCGGCACACAACACCUUAAUGACAUUCAGAAUAUCAAUUCUGCAUGCUGGUGAAUAAACGAUGCCACACUUUACAAGAAAAGCAAAUGACAAAAAUAAACAAUCACAAACAAUAAAAAGAAUUAAGCAGCUUUACUGUAUAUAAUACCCCAUCCAGCCUUUCACAAGUCAAUAUUCACUAUCAUUGUCUCAAAAGAAGUGAAAUCCAGUUGUGUUUCAUUCCACAUAAUAGGAUUUCAGGUAACGCAAUGCCACGUUAACCAAACAACAGCCCUCCCACAAACUGGUUCAGUAAAACAGCAACAAGUAUCUACAGAGGUAUUUUUUAUUUAAGCAUUAUUACAUUAUUUAACAUUUUAUAUGUAAUCUAUGAAAUGUAUUAACCUUUUUUACAAGUCCAUUCAUCCUGCACUUUUUGUGUCACAAAGGUCUUUGUGUAUUUUUCUUCAACUUAACUGCCAUGAAGCCUGGGGUAUAAUUGCUCCGUCUGUUGCUAGAGUGAAGCUGUUCUAUCCUUGUCUUAUCUUUAACUGGUUAAAGAUGAAAACUGUAAAAUCCCACAGGUAACCACAACAAAAAAAAAUCAGAGUUCCCCUUUUUUUCUACUUGCAAAGAAAUGAAUUAGUUAUACUUCUAAUGUAUGGUUACGUGAUACUGAAAAUGUAGUUGCACUCUUAUUAUGCAGAAACGGAAUAAAUAACAUAGUAUAAGAUGACA